rnacentral:rRNA from 1 species
UACGAAGGGUGCAAGCGUUACUCGGAAUUACUGGGCGUAAAGCGUGCGUCGGCGGUUUGUUAAGUCCGCUGUGAAAGCCCUGGGCUCAACCUGGGAAUUGCAGUGGAUACUGGCAAGCUAGAGUGCGGUAGAGGAUGGUGGAAUUCCCGGUGUAGCGGUGAAAUGCGUAGAGAUCGGGAGGAACACCCGUGGCGAAGGCGGCCAUCUGGGGUUGUUCUGACGCUGAGGAGCGAAAGCUAGGGGAGCAAACGGG